rnacentral:lncRNA from 1 species
GCCUUCCUCAUUUCCUGUUUCUCAUUCAGAUGUUAUUCCUGGACAUCAAGUAUCUUGAAUGUUUUGAAAUGCUUUGCGGUAAACCAAAUUAACUCGAACUGAUGCACCAAAUGAGAAGCUGGGUGCAUGUGCUUCUGCCUAAUAAUGUCUUCAGCUCUGGAUGAAAACGCCCACCUGGGCUAACUCAUUUCCACCUCUGCCUCCUCCGGAUAUAACUAGACUCCUCCGGUUGGCAAAGACAGCUACAUUAAAAAAC